UACGUAGGAGACGAGCGUUGUCCGGAGUUACUGGGCGUAAAGGGUGCGCAGGUGGCGGCGCGCGUGGGGGGUGAAAUCGCCCGGCUUAACUGGGCGGGGGCCUUCCAGACGGCGUGGCUUGAGCAGCGGAGGGGGACGUGGAAUUCCGGGUGGAGCGGUGAAAUGCGUAGAGAUCCGGAGGAACACCGAAGGCGAAGGCAGUCUCCUGGCAAGUUACUGACGCUCAGGUGCGAAAGCUAGGGGAGCGAACAGG
rnacentral:rRNA from 1 species